UUUGAAAUUGAAUUUCACAGAACUAGCAGCCUUGUCUUCAGGCUCUAGUACCCGAAGGUCGAGACGUGUUCCUUCCUUGGCCACAGUCGCAAGAUCAAGAUGUCAGCAGCGCGCUCAACGCGACAUUAGCAUAUUUUACUCGCCGGCAGAACUCGGACGACAAGUUGGCACGCCCUGCAUAAUAACCAAAAGAAGUAGUUAGCUCAUUAGUUACUUGGUCUGCGCACCACGUAAGCUUAGUAGUUUUUAAGGUUAACAAUUACUCUUACUUUAAAACAAAAGGAAAUUUCCACAGAAAUAGAAUACUACAUGUGCUUUAUAAAAGAUUGUACAUGUCCUGUACAUUUAAAAAUCAUAUAUGGUUUGGCCAGACAAUGAAAAUUGUUGACAAACAUCUGAGAUAAUCUCAAUAAUUUUCUUUGUCCCGCCAAAGUAUAUAUGAUUUUUAAACAUCUGAGAUCAAUUCAUCCAUCCAUCCAUAUUCAUAUCCUUCAUUUGGCUUCCAUAAUUUCCAUCUCCAUCCCAAUCUACAAUCAAUUUUAAUCGUGAACUGUUGUUGUCUUCAACUACGAUCGGUAAGCUGUUUUCAAAUGGAAGAUUAAGGUGCUGGUUUCUGGCAAUAGUUGGUGGUGGAUGUUCGUAAUCGUUGUGGAGAGCUAUUCCGACGCUUUCAGUAGUGAAGUUGGAAGGAAGCAGUUAGGGUUAGGUUAUGUAGUUUUUCUUUUUUAGGCCCAAAACAUAGGUUAUUAUUGAGGUCCAUUCUUUUGUUUGUGUGAAUGUUGUUGUUACGCCUCUAAUUAGGUAAUAUAGUUGUUUUUUUUUUUUUUUUUUGUUAAUAGAGUAACCCUUGACUGAAAAACAAAGAAAAAAAAAAAGGGAAAAUUGUUGAGAAGUUUCAUUUGCUUGGAAAUGGAUGGUGACUGACUGGUGGUGCGAGUUGAAGAGGAUGAAAUUCCGGUGCAGUCAAUUCAAUUCAAGGUUAAUUUUUCCAAACAACACAUUUAUAUAUUUAUCUUAAUUUCUGUAGUAGUGCUGCUCCUCUAUGUGGCGGGCGGCGGUGCUGGGUUUCUUUUGCUUGCUAGGUAUACUGCUCCGCUGGCCACUGAUAGCUUCUUGGAAUCAGACUUGAAGUUUCUUUUGCUUGGAAAUGGAUGGUGGCUGACUGGUGGUGCAAGUUGAAGAGGAUGAAGUUCCCGUGCAGCCAAUUCAAUUGAAGGUCAAUUUUUCCAAACAACUCAUUUAUAUAUUUAUCUUAAUUUCUGUAGUAGUACUGCUCUGCUGGGCCGGGGGUGGCGGUGCUGGGUUUCUUUUGAUUGCUGGGUAUACUGUUCCGCUGGCCAUUGAUAGCUUCUUGGUAAUCACAGUAUAAGUUCUGUCCUA